GACGAACGCUGGCGGCGUGCUUAACACAUGCAAGUCGAGCGGUAAGGCCCUUUCGGGGUACACGAGCGGCGAACGGGUGAGUAACACGUGGGUGACCUGCCCUCAGCUCUGGGAUAAGCCUGGGAAACUGGGUCUAAUACUGGAUAUGACUCCACGGUGCAUGUCGUGGGGUGGAAAGCCUUGUGCGGCUGAGGAUGGGCCCGCGGCCUAUCAGCUUGUUGGUGGGGUGANGGCCUACCAAGGCGACGACGGGUAGCCGGCCUGAGAGGGCGACCGGCCACACUGGGACUGAGACACGGCCCAGACUCCUACGGGAGGCAGCAGUGGGGAAUCUUGCGCAAUGGGCGAAAGCCUGACGCAGCGACGCCGCGUGAGGGAUGACGGCCUCGG
rnacentral:rRNA from 1 species